UACGUAGGGUGCAAGCGUUAAUCGGAAUUACUGGGCGUAAAGCGUGCGCAGGCGGUGAUGUAAGACAGGUGUGAAAUCCCCGGGCUUAACCUGGGAACUGCAUUUGUGACUGCAUCGGCUGGAGUGCGGCAGAGGGGGGUGGAAUUCCGCGUGUAGCAGUGAAAUGCGUAGAGAUGCGGAGGAACACCGAUGGCGAAGGCAGCCCCCUGGGUUAACACUGACGCUCAGGCACGAAAGCGUGGGGAGCAAACAGG
rnacentral:rRNA from 1 species